GGAAGAUAGUUCCGCAUCUGGCCCAACCGUGAUGUGCUCUGCAGUGUCCCAGCUUCCAGCAAAGCUGCAGCUCAUUUCUGUUCUGAAAGAUGCAGGCACCCAUUGGAAGAAUUUAGUUCCCUGUUGCUGCUGGAACCCCACUGAGCUUCCAAACAAUCCUGCAACCAUUCCCCAGCCCUUCUAAAGAAACCUCCCCAUAGGACAAUUGAUUGUAGAAGUCUAAAGGAGUGCCACCAAGUCAUUACAAGUCACUUACAUUGACGGUGAUACUGACUUGAAAACACAAGUCUGGAUUUCCUCCUCAAAAGCUCAUUGUUGUUCUUUGGGUCCUGCAAAAGUGAAUUCUGAAAUGCUGGUGGAUUAGGGUGGGGAAUGAACUGCAAGGGGAGGAAACUCAAGAGUGUUUUCUUGCAAUGCACACGCACACAGUCACACGAUAUCACUGGUAACACCUUUUUAAUAGGUCAAAGUAACUGUACAGUUCAUUAUAUUCUUCCUGAGAAUAAUUUAUAUCCCUCAACAGCAAGAAGGGAGUGUGGGUUUUAUUUUAACAGAACAGAUGGCAUAACUGGAAAAAACCAAGGAAAAUCUAAUUACACUGCUCUACUGUAACUCCUCCCAGGCAAGAUAGACAAAAGGAUGGGUUAGUUUAACUACAGUGGGUUUAAAAGAGUCAACAUGGCUUUAAUCUGUCUUUUAUAAAUUAUAUCAAAAUGGGGGGCAUGGAUGGUUACAGAACUCCUCUAAAUGCAGCUCUGAAUUGCUCUGGUACAAAGCAGCAUUUCCACUUCCAAGGAAAACACCAUUGCUACAAAAGAACUGGCACGUUAUUCCGGUGAAAAAAAAGUUCUCAGUCGUGUUCUACAGCUAAUUCCAACCGAAGGCUUCACACGUUCACAUCAAAGUAAAAGGCAGGAAGAUGAAGAGAGGGCUUUUAGUUUCGUCUUGAAAUGACUGAAGUCUUGAAAAUAUAGCUUUUAACUCUUUUCUCUGUAAAUUGUGAUUAGCAUAUUGCGACGUAAGUGUUCUAAUACAAAAAUUCCAGUCUGGAUAGUUCAUAUACUGUGGGCAAGAAUUCUCAGCCCUGAGGUUUCCCCGAAUUCUUCACAAUAUCUCUCCCAUCUGCUGCUCCGAGGCCACAACAGCCCUGUGGCAGCUCUGGGCUAAGCGUGGCCCAUGCGAUGGGUGCAGAGCUGCUUUGUGCUCCGCAGCUCUCAAGGACUUCUCUGUACAAACUUCAUCUCUGAUAAUGCCACUUCCCGAAUCCCAGCUUGGCUUGGUGAGGAAAACAUGGUUAAACUUGUCAUGAGAGAGAACCAGCAGCGGGCAGUCAGGGCUGCUUGAAGCAAGAGGCGCUGGAAAGCCAGGACGACGCUGGGUUAAUCCUCACUGCUGGUGGAAGGCCAACACCAUCCUUUCGCAAGCGGGAUUCCUGGAUG